ACGUAGGUGGCGAGCGUUAUCCGGAAUUAUUGGGCGUAAAGAGCGCGCAGGCGGUUGAUUAAGUCUGAUGUGUAAGCCUCGGGCUUAAGCGUGGAGGGGCAUUGGAUACUGGUGAUCUAGAGUGCAGAGGAGGAAGACGGAAUUCCAUGUGUAGCGGUGAAAUGCGUAGAUAUAUGGAGGAACACCGAAGGCGAAGGCAGCUUCCUGUACUGUAACUGACGCUGAGCCGCGAAAGUGUGGGGAUCAAACAG
rnacentral:rRNA from 1 species